UUGACGAGACUAUUUUAUUUUUGUUUUGGAGUAGUCACUCCUUAAUGAAAAUAUUUCAAGUUAUUUUUAUUUUGAGAAUAAUUGUUUCUUGAUAAGACUAUUUUGUUUUGAAGGUAGUUGUUUUUUGAUAAGAUUAUUUUGUUUUUUUAGCAUACUUGCAUCUCAACGAGACUAUUAUAAGUUAUUUUAUUUUUCUUUUGAGGAUAAUCAUUUUUUAAUAAAAUUAUUUUAUUUUAUUUUAUUUAUGUUUUGAGUUUAAUUGGUGAAAUUAUUUUGUUUCAUGUUGAGCUAAGAUCACUUUUUGGAAAACCCUAACAAACCCUAGCCGUCACUGUUCAUCCCGUCCUCCAUACAAUACGGUCUCUCCCAACGCAGCAGCAACCACAUUCCUCAGCCUCGACGGACUUCAACUAACAGCCUAGAAGAGGUCCACCUCCACCAUAAAUCAACUAUUUUCAUUCGACCGAGAAAAACGCCGAUCUCCACAAGCCAUUCUAUCACCCUCUCAUCCUCGUAGCCACUGUCAAUAAUGAUCAUCCAAGUCGGCUUGGAAUCAAUCACUCCCACUCCCAGCCAUGUCACGUCCCUUCUCGGAGUAGCUUUUUUAUACGAACCAGGCCACUUUGACAACCAUGCGAGCGCAGAUGGAUGAACCAAGUAAACUAGGAGGUUGCAAUCGAGUUGUUUAUGGUGUUUUUGUAGUUUGCAGUAGCGGAGUGUGAAGCAUACGCGUCAAAUCACACAACCCCUUCCAUGCGCCUGCUUAGCACCUGCGCGUUACCUUCACGUGUCAAUGCUGCCUUGUCAAUUUCCAGCGGCUUUCGCUCAAUUCCCACAGCUCUCGAAGGUCAUCUUCAAAUCCGAACAAAUUUCUAUUCAUGUAAAUGUUAACAUGUUGUGAAUUGUAAUUUUUGAAUUGUGUAGAUUUUGCAUGAAUGGGUUUUGUAUGGAUAAAAAUAAUCCAUCACUUUGCAA